UACGUAGGGUGCAAGCGUUGUUCGGAAUCAUUGGGCGUAAAGCGCGUGUAGGUUGCUAUGUAAGUCGAAUGUGAAAUCCCUGGGCUCAACCGAGGAAGUGCAUCCGAAACUACAUAGCUCGAGAACGGUAGAGGAAGGUGGAAUUCCAAGUGUAGAGGUGAAAUUCGUAGAUAUUUGGAGGAAUACCGGUGGCGAAGGCGGCCUUCUGGACCGGUUCUGACACUGAGACGCGAAAGCGUGGGUAGCAAACAGG
rnacentral:rRNA from 1 species